rnacentral:rRNA from 1 species
CGUGUAGGCGGUCGGUCAAGUCUGAUGUGAAAGCCCGGGGCUCAGCUCCGGAAGUGCAUUGGAAACUAGCCGACUGGAGCGCGAUAGAGGAGGGUGGAAUUCCUGGUGUAGCGGUGAAAUGCGUAGAUAUCAGGAGGAACACCGGCGGCGAAGGCGGCCCUCUGGAUCGUUGCUGACGCUGAGACGCGACAGCGUGGGGAGCAAACAGGAUUAGAUACCCUGGUAGUCCACGCCGUAAACUAUGGGUACUAGGUGUUCGGGGUGUUGACCCCCUGAGUGCCGCAGCUAACGCAUUAAGUACCCCGCCUGGGGACUACGGCCGCAAGGUUAA